CCACGGGAGGCAGCAGUGGGGAAUAUUGCACAAUGGGGGAAACCCUGAUGCAGCGACGCCGCGUGAGUGAAGAAGUAAUUCGUUAUGUAAAGCUCUAUCAGCAGGGAAGAAAAUGACGGUACCUGAGUAAGAAGCCCCGGCUAACUACGUGCCCGCAGCCGCGGGAAUACGUAGGUGGCAAGCGUUAUCCGUAUUUACUGGGUGUAAAGGAAGCGUAGACGGCAGUGCAAGUCUGGAGUGAAAGGCGGGGGCUCAACCCCCGGACUGCUCUGGAAACUGUACGGCUGGAGUGCAGGAGAGGUAAGUGGAAUUCCUAGUGUAGCGGUGAAAUGCGUAGAUAUUAGGAGGAACACCAGUGGCGAAGGCGGCUUACUGGACUGUAACUGACGUUGAGGCUCGAAAGCGUGGGGAGCAAACAGGAUUAGAUACCCCGGUAGUC
rnacentral:rRNA from 1 species